rnacentral:tRNA from 10 species
GGAUCUUUGGCAGAGUUGGUCGAAUGCACCGGUCUUGAAAACCGGCGAGGGUUAUACCUCCCAGAGUUCGAAUCUCUGAGGGUCCACCA